rnacentral:rRNA from 1 species
UACGUAGGGUGCAAGCGUUAUCCGGAAUUAUUGGGCGUAAAGAGCGUGUAGGCGGUCCGGUAAGUCAGCUGUGAAAGUCAAGGGCUCAACCCUUGAAUGCCGGUUGAUACUGUCGGGCUAGAGUCCGGAAGAGGCGAGUGGAAUUCCCGGUGUAGCGGUGAAAUGCGCAGAUAUCGGGAGGAACACCAAUGGCGAAGGCAGCUCGCUGGGACGGUACUGACGCUGAGACGCGAAAGCGUGGGGAGCAAACAGG